rfam:Solanum tuberosum cultivar DM 1-3 516 R44 scf00052_126, whole genome shotgun sequence.
UUUGAGGAUUCUUUCGAAUCCACAACACUAUUGUGAAAAGCAUUUU